GACGAACGCUGGCGGCGUGCUUAACACAUGCAAGUCGAACGCUGAAGCUUGGUGCUUGCACUGGGUGGAUGAGUGGCGAACGGGUGAGUAAUACGUGAGUAACCUGCCCUUGACUCUGGGAUAAGCCUGGGAAACUGGGUCUAAUACUGGAUACGACAUGUCACCGCAUGGUGGUGUGUGGAAAGGGUUUUACUGGUUUUGGAUGGGCUCACGGCCUAUCAGCUUGUUGGUGGGGUAAUGGCUCACCAAGGCGACGACGGGUAGCCGGCCUGAGAGGGUGACCGGACACACUGGGACUGAGACACGGCCCAGCCUCCUACGGGAGGCAGCAGUGGGGAAUAUUGCACAAUGGGCGGAAGCCUGAUGCAGCGACGCCGCGUGGGGGAUGACGGCCUUCGGGUUGUAAACCUCUUUCAGCACGGAAGAAGCGAAAGUGACGGUACGUGCAGAAGAAGCGCCGGCUAACUACGUG
rnacentral:rRNA from 1 species